rnacentral:siRNA from 1 species
ACAUUCUUCGUCGGGCAAGUUUGG